GGGUUGUGAGGUUAAGCGAAUAAGCGUACACGGUGGAUGCCUAGGCAAUCAGAGGCGAUGAAGGACGUGCUAAUCUGCGAAAAGCGUCGGUAAGGUGAUAUGAACCGUUAUACCCGACGAUAUCCGAAUGGGGAAACCCAGUAUCCAAUGGAUACUAUCAUUAACUGAAUCCAUAGGUUAAUGAGGCGAACCGGGAGAACUGAAACAUCUCAGUACCCCGAGGAAAAGAAAUCAACCGAGAUUCCCCUAGUAGCGGCGAGCGAACGGGGAGCAGCCCAGAGUCUUAAUCAAUAGCAGUGUCAGGAGAACGGUCUGGAAAGUCCGGCAGUAAAGGGUGAUAGCCCCGUAUCUGAAGAUGCUGUUAUUGUGAACUCGACGAGUAGGGCGGGACACGUGUUAUCCUGUCUGAAUAUGGGGGGACCAUCCUCCAAGGCUAAAUACUCCUGAUUGACCGAUAGUGAACCAGUACCGUGAGGGAAAGGCGAAAAGAACCCCGGCGAGGGGAGUGAAAAAGAACCUGAAACCGUGUACGUACAAGCAGUAGGAGCCUCUUUAUGGGGUGACUGCGUACCUUUUGUAUAAUGGGUCAGCGACUUAUAUUCUGUAGCAAGGUUAACCGUAUAGGGGAGCCGUAGGGAAACCGAGUCUUAACUGGGCGAAUGAGUUGCAGGGUAUAGACCCGAAACCCGGUGAUCUAUCCAUGGGCAGGUUGAAGGUUGGGUAACACUAACUGGAGGACCGAACCGACUAAUGUUGAAAAAUUAGCGGAUGACUUGUGGAUGGGGUGAAAGGCCAAUCAAACCGGGAGAUAGCUGGUUCUCCCCGAAAGCUAUUUAGGUAGCGCCUCGUGAACUCAUCUUCGGGGUAGAGCACUGUUUCGACUAGGGGUCAUCCCGACUUACCAACUCGAUGCAAACUGCGAAUACCGAAGAAUGUUAUCACGGGAGACACACGGCGGGUGCUAACGUCCGUCGUGAAGAGGGAAACAACCCAGACCGCCAGCUAAGGUCCCAAAGUCAUGGUUAAGUGGGAAACGAAGUGGGAAGGCUCAGACAGCCAGGAUGUUGGCUUAGAAGCAGCCAUCAUUUAAAGAAAGCGUAAUAGCUCACUGGUCGAGUCGGCCCGCGCGGAAGAUGUAACGGGGCUAAACCAUGCACCGAAGCUGCGGCAGCGACACAAAGUGUUGUUGGGUAGGGGAGCGUUCUGUAAGCCUGCGAAGGUGUACUGUGAGGUAUGCUGGAGGUAUCAGAAGUGCGAAUGCUGACAUAAGUAACGAUAAUGCGGGUGAAAACCCGCACGCCGGAAGACCAAGGGUUCCUGUCCAACGUUAAUCGGGGCAGGGUGAGUCGACCCCUAAGGCGAGGCUGAAAAGCGUAGUCGAUGGGAAACGGGUUAAUAUUCCCGUACUGGUGGUAACUGCGAUGGGGGAACGGAGAAGGCUAGGUUGUCCGGGCGACGGUCGUCCCGGUUCAAGCAGGUAGGCAGAGUGAUUAGGCAAAUCCGGUCACUUAAUGCUGAGAUGUGAUGACGAACCACUAAGGUGGUGAAGCAAUUGAUGCCCCGCUUCCAGGAAAAGCCUCUAAGCUUCAGGUUACCAACAAUCGUACCCCAAACCGACACAGGUGGUCAGGUAGAGAAUACUCAGGCGCUUGAGAGAACUCGGGUGAAGGAACUAGGCAAAAUGGUGCCGUAACUUCGGGAGAAGGCACGCUGGCGGUAGGUAAAGUCCCUCGCGGACGGCGCUGAAGCCAGUCGAAGAUACCAGCUGGCUGCAACUGUUUAUUAAAAACACAGCACUGUGCAAACACGAAAGUGGACGUAUACGGUGUGACGCCUGCCCGGUGCUGGAAGGUUAAUUGAUGGGGUUAGCGCAAGCGAAGCUCCUGAUCGAAGCCCCAGUAAACGGCGGCCGUAACUAUAACGGUCCUAAGGUAGCGAAAUUCCUUGUCGGGUAAGUUCCGACCUGCACGAAUGGCGUAAUGAUGGCCAGGCUGUCUCCACCCGAGACUCAGUGAAAUUGAACUCGCUGUGAAGAUGCAGUGUACCCGCGGCAAGACGGAAAGACCCCGUGAACCUUUACUAUAGCUUGACACUGAACAUUGAGCCUUGAUGUGUAGGAUAGGUGGGAGGCUUUGAAGUGUGGACGCCAGUCUGCAUGGAGCCAACCUUGAAAUACCACCCUUUAACGUUUGAUGUUCUAACCUAGGCCCAUAAACUGGGUCGGGGACCGUGUCUGGUGGGUAGUUUGACUGGGGCGGUCUCCUCCUAAAGAGUAACGGAGGAGCACGAAGGUUGGCUAAGCAUGGUCGGACAUCAUGCGGUUAGUGCAAAGGCAUAAGCCAGCUUGACUGCGAGAGUGACGGCUCGAGCAGGUACGAAAGUAGGUCUUAGUGAUCCGGUGGUUCUGAAUGGAAGGGCCAUCGCUCAACGGAUAAAAGGUACUCCGGGGAUAACAGGCUGAUACCGCCCAAGAGUUCAUAUCGACGGCGGUGUUUGGCACCUCGAUGUCGGCUCAUCACAUCCUGGGGCUGAAGUAGGUCCCAAGGGUAUGGCUGUUCGCCAUUUAAAGUGGUACGCGAGCUGGGUUUAGAACGUCGUGAGACAGUUCGGUCCCUAUCUGCCGUGGGCGUUGGAAGAUUGAGAGGGGUUGCUCCUAGUACGAGAGGACCGGAGUGAACGCACCACUGGUGUUCGGGUUGUCAUGCCAAUGGCAUUGCCCGGUAGCUAAGUGCGGAAGAGAUAACCGCUGAAAGCAUCUAAGCGGGAAACUUGCCUCGAGAUGAGUCUUCCCUGUCGUUUUAAGCGACCUAAAGGAACGUUUAAGACUAAGACGUUGAUAGGCUGGGUGUGUAAGCGUAGCGAUACGUUGAGCUAACCAGUACUAAUGAACCGUGAGGCUUAACCUGACAACACCGAAAGUGUUUUG
rnacentral:rRNA from 1 species